CAUACCUGUCCUGCCUCACUGCUCCACACACUUUAAGACCCCCAGUACUGAUCAGUGACUGUCCAGUCCUUUCACAGACACUGACACAGGCUGCGUUAUGAUGAUGUCACACUUUCUACUGCUGGUGAUGCUGGGACUCCUUGUACAGGAAUCAAUGGCAGAUAUAGUUCUGACUCAGGAUCCAGCAGCUCGGUCUGUUCAGCCUGGAGACACUGUCUCUAUCAGCUGUACAGCCAGUGAGGAUUUGAGAAGCUGGCUCCACUGGUACCUGCAGAAACCUGGUCAGGCUCCUAAACUUCUGAUUCAAACGGCCACAACCCGCCAGACUGGGAUUCCUGAUCGUUUCAGUGGGAGUGGAUCUGGGACUCAGUUCACACUGAAAAUCACUGGAGUUCAGGCUGAGGAUGCAGGAGAUUAUUACUGUCAGCAGGGCUGGAGCACUCCGUACACACAGUGAUAGAGAGUCGUACAAAAACCUCCCUCAGUCAGACUGCACAGAGACUGCACUGCUGCAGCUGGGACCUACUGCAGGUGCUGAGGGGGGAGGCACUGAUCUGUGACCUAGACGGGCUCUGCUCAAAUUCUGAGCUGUUUUAUGCAUUAAUAACUCUCAUAUAAUGAUAUUUAAUAAAAUUUCUCUAAAAUGUUAAUGUGAGCAAAUACAAAACAUUUCACUUAAGAUCCAUUUGAAUUAUAUUAGCAUAAACCUUUCAUUGAAAGAAUACACUUGAGACACAGGAAUUGGUCAGAUUCAAAUUGUUUAAUCUCUUCCGAAACAGAAAUAGGAAGGGGGACCCAAUCAGCAUUUUGUGAACACAAGGAAAAGAUGCACAGAUUUAACUAAAGACUGAAAUGGUGAAUUACUAUUCAAUUACAUUUACUGGACCAGAGGUGGGACUCAACACACACAAGUGAAAUAUCUUGAAUGUAAUGUUGUGGUUUUUUUUUUUUGUUUUUUUGCAUAUUUGAGGUUUUUCCAGGAGUAAAUUAUAAUUAAGGAUCUAAACAGAUUUUUUGCACAUUGGUCAAUGUUACCUUAAUUUUGAUGAUGAGCCAGAAACAUUCUAGGAUAAUUCCUUUCCUGUAGUUGCACAGGAUCUUUGGAAAUUAAUACCGAAUUCCAAUGAGCUACUGGCUACAGGGCAUUCAGAGAUGAGAGUGACUCUCACACCCCCCAGCAGUGUUCCUCCUGCUCUUUCCCAAACUCCAAACUCAGCUCCAUCUUCUGCACUGACUUCACUUUCACCCUUGGUUGUGAAAAAACUGAUACAUCAUAGGAAAUCUCGCUCAUUCAUUUGCAUGGAUGUAGGUGCGAGCAAAAGCAUUGUUC